rnacentral:rRNA from 1 species
UGGGGAAUAUUGCACAAUGGAGGGAACUCUGAUGCAGCGACGCCGCGUGAACGAAGAAGGCUUUCGAGUUGUAAAGUUCUUUUAUAUGGGAAGAUAAUGACGGUACCAUAAGAAAAAGCCCCGGCUAACUACGUGCCAGCAGCCGCGGUAAUACGUAGGGGGCUAGCGUUGUCCGGAAUCACUGGGCGUAAAGGGUUCGCAGGCGGGAAUGCAAGUCAGGUGUAAAAGGCAGUAGCUUAACUACUGUAAGCAUUUGAAACUGCAUAACUUGAGAAGAGUAGAGGUAAGUGGAAUUUUUAGUGUAGCGGUGAAAAGCGUAGAUAUAAAAAAGAAUAAAGGGGGCGAAAGCGACUUACUGGGCUCAUUCUGACGCUGAGGGACGAAAGCGUGGGUAGCAAACAGG